GACGAACGCUGGCGGCGUGCUUAACACAUGCAAGUCGAACGGAAAGGCCCUGCUUUUGUGGGGUGCUCGAGUGGCGAACGGGUGAGUAACACGUGAGUAACCUGCCCUUGACUUUGGGAUAACUUCAGGCAACUGGGGCUAAUACCGGAUAGGAGCUCCUGCUGCAUGGUGGGGGUUGGAAAGUUUCGGCGGGUGGGGAUGGACUCGCGGCUUAUCAGCUUGUUGGUGGGGUAGUGGCUUACCAAGGCUUUGACGGGUAGCCGGCCUGAGAGGGUGACCGGCCACAUUGGGACUGAGAGACGGCCCAGACUCCUACGGGAGGCAGCAGUGGGGAAUAUUGCACAAUGGGCGGAAGCCUGAUGCAGCAACGCCGCGUGCGGGAUGACGGCCUUCGGGUUGUAAACCGCUUUCGCCUGUGACGAAGCGUGAGUGACGGUAAUGGGUAAAGAAGCACCGGCUAACUACGUG
rnacentral:rRNA from 1 species